rnacentral:rRNA from 1 species
CCUACGGGUGGCUGCAGUGGGGAAUAUUGCACAAUGGGCGCAAGCCUGAUGCAGCCAUGCCGCGUGUGUGAAGAAGGCCUUCGGGUUGUAAAGCACUUUCAGCGGGGAGGAAGGCGGUGAGGUUAAUAACCUCAUCGAUUGACGUUACCCGCAGAAGAAGCACCGGCUAACUCCGUGCCAGCAGCCGCAGUAAUACGGAGGGUGCAAGCGUUAAUCGGAAUUACUGGGCGUAAAGCGCACGCAGGCGGUCUGUCAAGUCGGAUGUGAAAUCCCCGGGCUCAACCUGGGAACUGCAUUCGAAACUGGCAGGCUAGAGUCUUGUAGAGGGGGGUAGAAUUCCAGGUGUAGCGGUGAAAUGCGUAGAGAUCUGGAGGAAUACCGGUGGCGAAGGCGGCCCCCUGGACAAAGACUGACGCUCAGGUGCGAAAGCGUGGGGAGCAAACAGGAUUAGAUACCCUAGUAGUC